rnacentral:rRNA from 2 species
AGCGGCGGACGGGUGAGUAACACGUGGGCAACCUGCCUGUAAGACUGGGAUAACUUCGGGAAACCGAAGCUAAUACCGGAUAGGAUCUUCUCCUUCAUGGGAGAUGAUUGAAAGAUGGUUUCGGCUAUCACUUACAGAUGGGCCCGCGGUGCAUUAGCUAGUUGGUGAGGUAACGGCUCACCAAGGCAACGAUGCAUAGCCGACCUGAGAGGGUGAUCGGCCACACUGGGACUGAGACACGGCCCAGACUCCUACGGGAGGCAGCAGUAGGGAAUCUUCCGCAAUGGACGAAAGUCUGACGGAGCAACGCCGCGUGAGUGAUGAAGGCUUUCGGGUCGUAAAACUCUGUUGUUAGGGAAGAACAAGUACAAGAGUAACUGCUUGUACCUUGACGGUACCUAACCAGAAAGCCACGGCUAACUACGUGCCAGCAGCCGCGGUAAUACGUAGGUGGCAAGCGUUAUCCGGAAUUAUUGGGCGUAAAGCGCGCGCAGGCGGUUUCUUAAGUCUGAUGUGAAAGCCCACCGCUCAACCGUGGAGGGUCAUUGUAAACUGGGGAACUUGAGUGCAGAAGAGAAAAGCGGAAGUCCUCGUGUAGCGGUGAAAUGCGGAGAGAUGUGUAGGAACACCACUGGCGAAGGCGGCGUUUUGAUCUGUAAGUGAUGCUGACGAGCUAGAGCGUGGUGAGCUGACAGCAUGAUAUACUCUGCUGAUCCACAACGCAGACGACGAGUGCGGUGUGUCUGCAAGAUGUCUGCCCACUUAAUGCGUGCAGCGAGGAAUCAGCAUUCCUUCUGCGGAGUAAGUUCGCCGACUGAAAGUGACCUAAAUGAUUGAGCGCGGGCUUCAAUGCAGGAGUAGAGAUACGUCAGUCGACGCUACGAGCUACAUUUCUGACAUGUCUGCACACUCAUAUUUACGAGGUGGCGUCCUAUACGACUGAGCAGUGAGGUAGUUCCGUC